rnacentral:rRNA from 1 species
UACGUAGGGUGCAAGCGUUGUCCGGAAUUAUUGGGCGUAAAGAGCUUGUAGGCGGUUUGUCGCGUCUGCUGUGAAAUUUCGGGGCUCAACCCCGAACUUGCAGUGGGUACGGGCAGACUAGAGUGUGGUAGGGGAGACUGGAAUUCCUGGUGUAGCGGUGAAAUGCGCAGAUAUCAGGAGGAACACCGGUGGCGAAGGCGGGUCUCUGGGCCGAAAACUGACGCUGAGGAGCGAAAGCGUGGGGAGCAAACAGG